rnacentral:rRNA from 1 species
CCUACGGGAGGCAGCAGUGGGGAAUAUUGCACAAUGGGCGCAAGCCUGAUGCAGCCAUGCCGCGUGUGUGAAGAAGGCCUUCGGGUUGUAAAGCACUUUCAGCGGGGAGGAAGGCGUUAAGGUUAAUAACCUUGUCGAUUGACGUUACCCGCAGAAGAAGCACCGGCUAACUCCGUGCCAGCAGCCGCGGUAAUACGGAGGGUGCAAGCGUUAAUCGGAAUUACUGGGCGUAAAGCGCACGCAGGCGGUCUGUCAAGUCUGAUGUGAAAUCCCCGGGCUCAACCUGGGAACUGCAUUCGAAACUGGCAGGCUAGAGUCUUGUAGAGGGGAGUAGAAUUCCAGGUGUAGCGGUGAAAUGCGUAGAGAUCUGGAGGAAUACCGGUGGCGAAGGCGGCCACCUGGACAAAGACUGACGCUCAGGUGCGAAAGCGUGGGGAGCAAACAGGAUUAGAUACCCGAGUAGUC